CCCUGAUCACAAGACUGGUGUCACCGCCGACUAGUCUGAGGGUCGGGCAGCGCUACGCUAUCACCUGCCUGGCUGCUGGGUCACGGCCGCACCCCAAUGUGACUUGGACUCUCAGCGACGGAGCGGCUACUGUCUACCUGAGCGCGGAGACGCAGCACGGAGUCAACAUGAGUUCGUCCCGUGUGUCAGUGCUUGCGUCUCGGCGCGGCCAUGGGCAGAGACUGGCUUGCACGGCGCUCAACCCUCUCUUCCCCGACCACCCGCUGACAGACUCCAUCGUACUGAACGUGACAUACCCGCCUGUGGCCUCGCUGGAGCUGGGUCGCGGCGCCUCGUCAACUGUGCGGGAAGGAGAGGACGUGUACUUCAACUGCCUCGUCGACUCUAACCCACCGCUGUACAACAUUACGUGGGUCAGACAGGGUGAGACUAUCGAGCAUGCCCCUGAGGCCGGCGUGUUGGUGGGUGGACACAGCCUUGCCCUACGAGGCGUGUCACGGCGAGACGCGGGGCCGUAUGUGUGUCUGGCUACCAACGCCGAGGGGGAAGGAGCCAGCCCGCCACUACUUCUUCAGGUACAUUAUGCCCCGGUAUGUAGAGACGGCAGCAGGCCCUCGGAGGUGUACACAGCGGGUCUGGGUCAGCCCGUUAACGUGUCUUGCCAUGUGAAGGCGUCCCCAUCUCAGGUCAAGUAUUCCUGGAUCUUCAACAACAGCCUCAGUUCACAAAGACUGCCCGGGGAACAGGUCUUGUCUGCCACAGAGGGCGGCAGCGUGGUCGAGUUCGUGGCCGGUUCUCACCAAGACUAUGGUACCCUACAGUGCUGGGCUCAGAACAGCGUGGGCAAGAUGUCCCGGCCCUGCCUAUACCAUGUGGUGCCGGCCAGUCGUCCUGAGCGCCCGACGUCCUGCGCAGUGGUGAACAAGUCCUACGACGCCCUGGUGGUGACCUGCACGGCUGGCUUCGACGGGGGGCUGAGGCAGAGCUUCUUUGCGAGGGUCUACGAGGCCGUGACAGGUCGAGGUCAGGUCAACAUGAGCGCGCCGCAGCCUCGCUUCACGCUGGAGGGCCUCACGCCGAAGCUCGACUACAUGAUAUGGGUUAGCGCCCGCAAUGCCCUCGGCCACUCUCCAGCCGUACGACUCGAGGCAUUCACGUACAAGCUCGCGGCGAACACCAUGAGUAAGUACGUGGGAAGGAAGGAAGGGAAGGAGGGAAGGAAGGAAGGAAGGGGAAGAAGAAUGGAAAGAAGGGAAGGAAUGAAGGGAACGGAGGGAAGGAAGGAAGGGAAUUGGAAAUGGAAGGAAAGGGAAGAAGGAAGAAAGGAAGGGAAAAAGGGAAGGGAAGAAGGAGAAGAAGGGAAGGAAGGAAGGGAACGGGUGGAAGGAAGGAAGGGAAUAGGAGAUGGAAGGAAAGAGAUGAAGGAAGGGAGGAAGGGAGGUGAGGAAGGAGGGAAGGAAGGGGAGGAAGAAAGGGAGGAAGGGAAGAAGGAAAGGAGGGAAGAAAAGGAAGGAAGGAGAGGAGGAAUUGGAGAAAGAAGGGAAGAAGGGGAACGAAAGGGAAGGAGGGAAGGAAGGAAGGAGGGAAGAAGAGGAAGAAAGGAAGAAGGGAAGGAAUUGGAGAAAGAAGUUAAGAAAAGAAGGAGGGAAACGAAAGGGAGAGGAAAAAAGACAAGGAAGGGAGGAAAUGGAAGGGAAGAAGAGGAGGAAGAGGAAGAAAAGAUGGUGAAUGGAAACGAAUAUGGAGAAUGGAAGAAAAUGAAGGAGAGGAAGGAAGGAAGGAGGGAGGAAUGAAAGAGAAAAGGGGAGGAAGAAAGGAAGAGAAAAUGAAACGAAAGGAAAAGAAGAAGAGAAGGAGGAAGAGGAAGAAAGGGGAAGAGGAGAAAAAGGGAGAGAUGAAAGAGUGAAUGGGAAUGAAGAAGAAGAAGAAGAGAAGGAGACGAAGGGCCAGAUGAACUUUUCCCCAGGGUAAUAAAGGAAUGUGAAACUGAAAUCAGUGGGCAGUUAACGGAAGUAUUUAUGAAGUCGCCAGACACAGGGGUGGUGCCUGUUUCAUGGAGGCAGGCACACGUUAUUCCAAUAUUUAAGAAGGGUGACAAAUCUUCUAUGGAGAACUAUAGGCCGAUUAGUUUGACGUCAGUUAUAGGUAAAAUGAUUGAGUCAAUAAUAGCUGAUAGUAUUAGAGACCAUAUAGACAGACAUAAUUUAGUUCACGACUCACAGCAUGGGUUUAUUAAAGGAAGGUCGUGCCUCACUAAUCUUUUAUCCCUUUACAAUAGAGUAUACUAGGCAGCUGACAAUGAUGAGAGUUAUGAUGUAGUUUAUCUUGAUUUUAGUAAGGCCUUCGAUAAGGUACCUCACCAAAGACUCAUGAAUAAAGUCAGGGUUCAUGGGAUAAGAGGGAAGAUAUUUGAUUGGAUUAAGGCGUGGAUUAGCGACAGGAAACAGAGGGUUACCAUUAACGGUAAAAAAUCCGAAUGGGGUAAUGUUACCAGUGGGGUUCCUCAAGGUUCAGUUUUAGGCCCGCUUUUAUUCAUUAUCUACAUCAAUGACAUAGACAAUGGGAUAACUAGUGACAUAGGUAAAUUUGCAGAUGACACCAAAAUAGGACGCACUAUUAGGACAGGGGAGGAUGCUAGAGCACUGCAGGAGGAUCUCAACAAACUGUCAGCUUGGUCAGAGAAAUGGCAGAUGAAUUUUAACAUCACCAAGUGUAGCGUACUUCGUGUAGGAACACGCAACCCAUUACACGGGUAUAGUUUAGACUCCACAGCGAUAGGCAGAUCAGAGUGUGAAAGGGAUUUGGGAGUGUUAGUGAACUCUGACCUAAAACUAAGGAAGCAAUGUAUUAGUGCAAGGAAUAGUGCUAACAGGAUAUUAGGCUUUAUUAACAGGACGGUAACCAACAGGAGUGCAGAGGUCAUCCUCAGACUCUAUUUAGCGUUAGUUAGGCCACCCUUAGAUUAUGCUGUCCAGUUUUGGUGCCCACUCUACAGAAUGGACAUCAACUUGCUAGAAUCAGUUCAGAGGAGGAUGACCAAGAUGAUUCAGGAGCUGAGGAACCUCCCAUAUCAAGAUAGGCUGAAACAUCUAAACUUACAUUCACUAGAAAGACGAAGAGUGCGGGGAGAUCUGAUAGAAGUAUUCAAAUGGGUCAAGGGUUACAACAAAGGCGAUAUAAGUAAAGUACUGAGAAUUAGUCAGCAGGAUAGAACACGUAGUAAUGGAUUGAAAUUAGAAAAGUAUAGAUUUAGGAGAGAUAUAGGCAAGCAUUGGUUUAGUAAUAGGGUGGUGGGGAAAUGGAAUAGACUCAGCAAUCACAUAGUUAGUGCAGGGACGAUAGCUUGUUUUAAGAGUAGACUGGAUAGCUACAUGGACGAGGAUGACGGGUGGCAGUGAGGUGUGGGUGCAGUAAGGAGACAGGGUACUGGAGCGUACGCCCGUACCGAAGGUAAACGAGGAUCAAGCCUCUACCUGUAACCCCUGAAACUACACCUCACCCAUCGUGAGUAGUGGGGGGGAUUCUGGAGCUGCCCUGUUUAGGCCACUCGGCCUCUUGAAGUUUCCCUAUGUUCUUAUGUUCUUAAGAGGAGGAAGGAAUGAACGAGGAAGAGGAGGAGAAGGAGGAAGAGGAAGAGGAGGAGGAGGAGGAGGAGGAGGAGGAGGAGGAGGAGGAGGAAUACAUAGGAAUACAUGGGAAGAACAGACACCAGAAGACCUAUCGGUCUAUGGCCAGGGUGUCUGUUUACUACCGCUACUACUAGUAAUCUACGUGUGGUAGGACAGGACAGAAUAGAUGAAUGCUCCUCCCCACCCACCUCUCCCUCCGGCAACGUGCCGGCAGGAAAUAGUUAGAAGAGAACACCAUGUACCUUUAAGGAAGAAAGGGACAUGGAAAUUUUACAGUAAAGAGAGAAAUAAGAGGAAAUUACUACCCUUAACUUACACUACUGGUAACCUAAGCUGUGGGGGAAAAUGACUUCAUUACAUAAGAACAUAAGAACAUAGAAAUACAGGGAGACUGGAAGAGGACGAGUGGCCUACACAGGGCAGCCCCAGAAUCCCCCCUAAUACUCACGAUGGGUGAGGUGUAGUUUCAGGGGCACAGGUGGAGGCUUGAUCCUCGUUUUACCGGCGGUACUAGGCACGCACCAGUAACCUGUCACCUUACUGCACCCACACCUCACUCCACCUGUCAUGCGGACAUUAACUGUUGCUUUACUCUAUUGUUGACUUUCGCUACUUGCAAUCUAGGUUGUGGGGGAGAAUUAUAUGAAUAUAGGUUGAGGUCUUGCUGCAAUCUGUCU